GACAUUUAGCACGUUAACCCCCUCACUCUACCCACUGCCCAAAUGCACAGGGGCAGGGCUCCGAUUCAAAAUCCAUCCCCAAAUUGGCUACUCCAAGCUCCAGUGAUGCCAGGGAGUCGACGGUCGGCGGCUGCCUCGGCCGACAUUAUAGAUGAGCUAGGGGUUCGACUCUGUCGGUGCUCAUGUAGGGAAGGCAUGCGAAUUCUCCACCUGUAGCUGCCUGCAUAUCCUUCUCCCGUCUCUUCCCCCUCUUGCAUCUGGUCCCUCAUCCAUUGGCCUGCCAGUUCCUUCCACACAAGAGGAUUCCAAUCCUACAAAGUGUUCCAGGAGAGUGAAAUGAGCAUGGCAAGGAGAUUAGAAUUUGAUGAUGUACAUUCUGAUGCGGAGUCAGUUACUACAGGUGUUCCGCAUCGGCGAGCCCAGUACAUCAAACCUCAAAAGUCUACAAGCAUCCCAUUUUGUAAUGUGAUGAUUCCGUGGUGCCACACAUAGGGAUGACUUUUACGGAUGUGGAAUCAGCCAAGGAGUUUUAUGAAUGCUAUGCUCAUAGAGUUGGGUUUUCAAUCCGUAUAGGACAACACAAGAAAGUUGAUGGAGUGGUUCUUUACAAAUGUUUCCUUUGUGCAAACAAGUAUGCUCGGAGCCCACAAGCCGUCACCUCCUCCACCACCGCGGCACCGCGUCUCCUCACGCAACCACACAAUUGACCAGCAGUUCUUCUCUCUCGCUGUUCUCCUUCCUUCUCCACGCUCCAGCUCGUUGCUUCGCUUUGGCAUCGGCCAUGAUGGCCAUCCUCUCUCUGUUUUGGAUCUAGCGAUGGAGUUGUACCAUUGUGAGAAAGGUGAGAAAUAGAAUGAUGUAUUUGAAAAUGUACAUAGCCUGGACGCGGGGGGGGGGGGGGGAGUGGGGGGAUUCUUUGCAGUUAAUUACACAAUGUUUAUAUCUGCAGUUUUUCUUAACAUCUCAAACAUGGUGCGUGAGAAAGUAUACCUCUAAUCAAGUCAAUCUAUUUGCAAA